ACGGUGUGCAACUUCCGGUUGCGAAAACGAACUCCGCGGACCGCUGGAGUGUAAUCUCUUCGGAACGAAACUAAGACUCUCUGCUUUUACUUGUUCCUUCGAUCGAGCGAGUAGUCCUCGCAAGUGACAUCACAGUCUAUACACCCAGCGAGAUGUACUCGAUGACAGGAAUUCAGGGGGCGACUGUUCGUUCACACGAUGGGAAGAUUUUGAAUUCACGAGGUUGAGAAAUUCGUUUUCGACGCACCACGAAUCGCUAAGGACGGGAACGCACGUAUCUCGACUGGAAGACGAACAACGGUCCGUCGCGACGAGCAUUCGCGAGCAACCGCAACACACUGAGCCGCUUGAGCGAGGAAGACGAGGCUAUGAGGCGCGGACAAACGACGUCGGGACGACGCCGCGUCUUCGUCGGCUUCGUGGGCGCGCGCCUCCGCUCUGGCUGCGUCACGGCGCCUGCUCGCUCAGGGUACUACGUGUUCGAUGAGUAAAAACCCAUCCGGGAAGGGGUAGGGAGCAGGGGCGCGAUUUGCAGGCCGGUUAUUACGUACGAUUCUCUAGGCGUCGAGUAAUUGCGGGAAGAGAAUAUCGUUCGGUCGCCGUAAAAGGAUCGAUAGAGGGUGCCGAGUCACGACGACCACGUGAAAUUUUCGCCAUGAAAUUACGAGGAUCGAUACUGGAAAACGGGGUGCGCGUUGCACCCUGAAAUAUAUGUUUACUUUCGUGAGUUUCGUUGAAAUAUUUUCAAGCUUCCUUCUAAUCAAGCCUGGAGAACACCCUUCCGGUUCGCGAUUUCGAAAAACGACCGAAACUGACCUGCGUAGCCAGGUUUAUUUUUCUUCUAGGCGAAUACCAUACACAAUAGUAAUUGCAUCCGAUAUGGAAAACUGCAAGAUCUCGAUACACAAGUGACAAAUUCUGCGAUCAUGUAAAUUACCUUUUUAUACAGCAAUCGUUUCAUAUCGACUUCCGAGCUUCAAUCGAAGAAUCAAUGUAUAAUGCAUAAUACUUUUUUUUUUUAUGAAGAAAAAUGCGUUCUUAAAGUGGGAAGUACGUGGGUUGUACUUAUGCAAAUUUUGAAAAAGUUGUUAUCGGCAAUGCUUGAGCAAAAAGUUUAUGCAGAAACGUUAGUGUUGCGGUAUUCUAGCUUGGAGGACUUAUUUCUCUCUCUUUUUAAGAAGGCUGACUAAAUCGAAUCGAUUAAAAAAUCAAUUCAAGCUGAACACACGGACUAUUUAAUUACACGUGUACUAAAUGUGUGCAAGGACAUAAUGGAGGCACAAGAGCGUAACUAAGAACCUGCGUAAUUAGAAACCGCGUAACUCGAGGACUCGUUAUGCAUUUCUAACUCGGAAUUCUCUGAAUCGUUGUCGGACUGCGUGGUACACAUUUCAUGCAAGAAUAUUCAGAAAUGUGGCUAUUUUUAAACCGAGCCACGCGUUUAAUUUCACGGCGUUGACUAAUCACGGAAACAUUGUUUCUAUAUCCGCGAAAGGAUAGAUAAGUAUAUUUUGAUUUUGUCGAAUCACAAUACGAAAAUGUACAAUCGAAUACGAGAAUAAUUUAGGAAUACCUAUCACUCGGUAACUAAUCGAUACACAACUACUAACUCGAAUGACAUAUAGCAAUGUCACGACAGAAAUGUCGUCUAGAUAUUUAAAGAGAAUCGAUGCGAGAUUAGGUAAUCUUUUGGUAAAGUUUAGAGUUCUGGCUGGAUGAUGUGUUCCAGUUUCACGUGGAAUGUAUUGUUUCGAUAGCUUCAUACUAAAUUCUGUCACGCUUUCUCAAUUCUGUGUCAGUUCGUUUUGUUCUAUUGUCGUACCAACGUGACUACCAGUCAAUUGUCGUCGACGAUUAUUAUUCUGCGUUAUCACGAUGCCAUCGAAACCACGCAAUUCUGACUACCAAGAAACGUUCAAAGAUACUGGAAUUUAUACGUUGUUACUGUUUUACUAAUCGAUUUGCUUUUUUUUAUUAUCACGAGGUCAAGCUACUGUUUUCCCGUAUUUAUUAUCGAUGUAAUGGAAUAGAAAGAGGGUUUUAAACAAAUAUCAACGUACGUACUGUUCGAAGUGCUUUGUGUCGGAAACGAUAAAGUAGGUAUGAAGCGAUAAAAAUAGUAAUUUUCAGAAUCGUUACUUUAAUCGCGAGCACGCGUCAAACCUCGAACGUCAUGUGUUCCAUCGUAUCCAUGAUUUCACAACCGUGGCCUUCAUUAGAGCGGAUUCAAGGCACUCCUUUGACGAAAUAACUAACUUUGAACAGUAGUUCGUUGAAAUCGUGAAUUUAAGACGCGCCUCGAGUCCACUCCGAAACGAAAUGGCUUUCUAAUGUUUAUUGAUGAACACGUUUAGUGUUUCUAUCGCGGUAUCGUAAAGGUCGAUGUCUCGGAAUAUGUAGAAUUGUUCGAAUCGACCCCGUGUAAUUGCCUAGCGUCCACUUUUAGCGCGAAAUAUAUAUGAGGAAACUCGUGGUUAAACGGCGCCAGAUGCUUCCGUCAUCAGCAGAUGUCAAAACUAAUGUUUACUGGAACUUUUGCGUGAAACAAACGACGAACAUCCGGUGCGAGCGACGUACGAACAUUUUGAAAAACGGCUCGUUGCAAGUGGAAAUCACAGCCAUUUGUCCUGUGGGCGUAUCGUUUCUCUCUAGGUUGAACAAACAAACCAAUCAUAGAAACUGUUCCUUAAAUUUCGCUCUGACUUCAUCGCUAUAAAACGCUUCGGCGUAGAAAAUCUUCGAUAAACCACGCGCUUAUCAUCUCUAACAUGACAAGUCACGAUUAACGCGUACGCUUUCGUACAUUUGGCACCCGAGAAGUUCUGAACCGGGUUCAGCGAAAUAUUAUUGUGAAGUGCUUUACUAUCAUUGAUAGAAUCUAUUUUGUUAUGAGACAUUGGGUCGUUAUAGUUUAUUUUUGUUCGCGUUGCGCUAUUUUCGAGACAUGUAGACGAGCCACGAGCGUCGAAAGGUUACGAGGUCAUUUCGAUCGAUGACAUUACAGAUGAGGUCUCCCUAUAUAAAGGUCGCCGAUUGAAAUUUGUGUCCCGCCAGCACCGCCAUGAAAGUUGACGACCAAUUCGAAUGAAGUUUCAGAAGGAGACGAUGAACGAUCGUCGACCAUGUUUGCUCGAAAGACGGCCCCUCGCCUUUCAAGGAAGAUAAAUCUUUGAAAACUUUACGAGUCGUUUUUGCGACUGAAGAUUCCAGGAGACACUUGGAUUGGUACGCUCAUAAUUUGUAUACUUUGCAAAAGAUGGAGUUUCCAUUCUACGAUUAGAGAGUCUCUCGAGAUCUCCAUGCGUCCGUUUGCAUAACCCAAUUGGUUACGACACGUUGUCUGAGAAGCCAUGUCUGAUAUACUGUUCAUUUGUAAGAAAGUGGUGAAUACGGGCAACGUGACCGUUGCGUAUAGUUUAAAAAGCUCCUGUAAAAAUGUAGAUACCGCUCGAAAAGUACGUAACACUAAUUUGCACCCCCUACUCAAAUUAGUCCAAACUAAAUUCCUGUUGAAAGCUAACUCCGCAGGAAAAUCACUAUAAAUGCAAGGAUGACGACGUGGUUUUCCUAAUAUAGUAAAUAUAAAUUAUAAAUGCAAAUUUGGUCAUUUAAAGAUCUCGUUAAAGGGAAGAAAAAAUUAUCUUUAAACGUUUGCAUGGAAAUUAACUGCUCGAAGAUAUCAGCGUUGUAAUUAGACCACCAGUCUUCAUACGAUUCUACGUAUAAUUUUUUAUACGAUUAAAGCAUACCACACGUAACACGCAACGCUUCUCGUAACAAGUAUUCGGAAUUAUCGCAAUUCAUUUAAAUGCAGGCUUGCACGUGUGGCAGGUGACGUUUACAAGCGCAACAAAUCAAAUAAGCAGAACUGAACAUGUAAACUACGCGUAGCUUUACAAUAUACUGCUCAUUUAUAUAGAUUACAAUAUCUCUGAAAUAAUUAAUCUCCAUCCAUAAGUUUAAUAGAUCAUUUUUUAUCUUCUUUAACGAGUUUUAUGUAACGUUUGUACUUGUAAUUCGUAGCUAUCUUGUAUAAUAUACACGAGUCACGAUUU